GCGCAUGCGCCCCGCCGGUGACGCCCGCGGACCCUCCCGCCGGGUCUCUAGGCUGCGCGAUCGUGAGGCACCGGGCCGAGGACCGCGGUCCCCUCGCUGCCGCCCGGCUCCUCCCCGGAUCCCGGAUCCCGGAACUCCCGCGCUGGCGGCGUCCUGACGCGCAAACGGCCUCUGGCCUGCAGGCGUGUAGACCCGCGGUCCAGCCAGCAGGUGCCAGGUGGAGCAGAGACCCGGUUCUGCAGACCCAGAUCUGUAGCCUGUGGGACCCUGUGUGGACACGGACCCUCCGGGCGGUCUGCUGAAAGCAGUGAGGCAGUGACCUGUGCAGCAGUCAGACCCCAGCCAACUCCCUGGGGGCAAAGAAGAAACACGUGGUUGGCUUAUCUGCUUCCCUUCCUGUUAAGCUCUAGGUUCUUGUUGGUUUAAGUACAGUAAGCCCCAAAGUCAGAACACUAUAUAUUUUUUUCUUUUUUUUAACUGUUUAAUUUUAUUGUUGUAGUUAUUAUUGAUGUUGUCGUUGUUGGAUAGGACAGAGAGAAAUGGAGAGAGGAGAGAAAGACAGACACCUGCAGACCUGCUUCACCGCCUGGGAAGCGACUCCCCUGCAGGUGGGGAGCCGGGGGCUCGAACCGGGAUCCUCACGCCGGUCCUUGCGCUUGGCGCCACGUGCGCUUAACCCGCUGCGCCGCCGCCCGGCCCCCAGUCAGAACGCUAUAAAAAGCUGCGUGAGAAGUGUCUGCGCUGCUCCUGUCUCCACUGCCUGAACACCGCCAAGAGCCUCCCAGAGCGAACCACCGCUCAGGGGUCUGACAGGCAGGGCGCUCAGCCUGCGCACAGGUCAUCUUCUGGCGGCUCUUCCUUUUCCCCUUCCCCCCCUCCCUCCUUCCUAGGCUAGAGACAGGGAGAAAGAGAGAGAAGGAGCAAGGUGUGGCGCCGCUCCAGUGCCCAUGCAGACGAGGAUCUUGUGCUGCCACAGGCACUUGGCGGGCACGUCCGCUGGGUGUCGUCUGUCCUGCUGUUGUUCCGUGAGC